rnacentral:lncRNA from 1 species
CACAUUUAUAAACUGUGGCCUUAUCUUCCCAUGAAGAAGCCUUAAUACAACUGAUGGGGGAAUUACUUCUGUAUAUGUUUAUCUUAUUGAUUGUUAAAUAAAAUACUGUUUGGCCAAUGAAAUGGCAAGUUAGGCAGGGCUAUGAGUCAAAGAGGAUUCUGGGAAAUGUAGUAGAUAAGUGCUGAUCCAGGCAGGAAGUGAUAUAGCAAGGAGACUCAGAUUUAAAGAAGGAGAAACCAGAAGCGUCUCUCUUUUCCCCUCCGCUCCUGCUCCAGUGGCACGAUGUGAUCCACCGACAAGGAGGGACGCCAAUAAGGCAUCCGAUAAGCAGUUGAAGAUACGGAGAUGAAGAAGCUGUGGUCCUCCCCCUUAACUUAAUGGUAAUUGAAAGGGCUGAAUAGAUGAGCCAGCAGCCACUGAUGCAUACAAGAUAAAGGCUGCCACUGCCCUUGGCCUCAGUUGCAACAAACCUGCAAGAGGUGGGGUGCUGUUUACAACUCACAGAUCAUGAAGGAAGACUUGUGGCAAGCACGGGACAACAUUCAGGUAGAGAAGCAAAGUCCAGACUCAAACCUCAGUGUGUGACUUUAAAGACUGGCAAACCAAGGAUCGGAUGAUAUCCCCUGACUUUUUGAGGGUUUGACCCAUUUGCUGCCAUCUUCUGAAGCUGUGGAAACUGUACUUUGGGGUUUCAGCAAUGAUCCUCUGGCUUUUUGACAUUUAGGAACCUCUUCAUCCAUUUUCUGUUGUGAUAACAAAAAUGCCUAAAAGCAGGUCAGUUUAUUUCCUGUUGACUGAAGAUCAAGAUGUAGGACUCUGAGCGCCUUCUCCAGCACCAUGUCUGCUGCCAUGUCCCACCAUGAUGACAAUGGACUGAACCUCUGGGAUUAAAGUUAAGAAAUUGCAUAAAUCCCAGAAGAGACUCGCAACUUUGGACUUUAAAACAUUGUUGAGACUGUGAUAAUCUAUGAAUGGGGACUUCUGAAGUUGUACUAAAUGCAUUUUGCAUUAUGAUAUUGUUUCAAGAUUUUGGGGCCAGGGAGUGGAAUGUGGUAGUUUGAAUGUAAUUGACACCCAUAAGCUUAUAGGGAGUGGCACUAUUAGGAGGUAUGGCCUUGUUCAUGGAGGAAGUGUGUCACUGUGGGGGCAGGCUUUGAGGUCUCCUAUGCUCAAGCUAUGCCUAGGUCAGUUCACUUCCUGUUGCCUGUGGAUCAAAAUGUAGGACCCUCAGCUCCUCCAGCACCGUGUCUGCCUACAUGCCGCCAUGUCCCACUGUGAUGAUAAUGGACUAAACCUCUGAAACUGUGAGCCACCCCAUUAAAUGUUUUCCUUUAUAAGAGUUUCUGUGGUCAUGAUGUCUCUUCACAGCAAUAGAAACCCCAAGACACUACUCUUCACAUUACCAAAGGAGAAAAGUAAACACCAAACCAACCUAGAAGCCCUUCAACAUACCAUGGUGACCUGCCUUCAUCAUAUGUUGGUGCAAUGGUGGCACGAAAGUUGUGGGAAUAACCAGCCACUGCCGGAUUGGAUUUAAGGACCACUCUGCAUGUUGGAACUCAUGCCUGAUACUGCUUGGGUGGCCAAGAACCUGAGAUUAUAUAUAUAGGUCAGGAACAUAGGGGAAAACAAAAU